rnacentral:lncRNA from 1 species
GGGGCGUGAGUGGCAGGGGAGAGAAGAGAGAGAAACUGCUGGGAUAAUGUGUGGGACGCGUGGCGCGAGUUUAUUGGUCCGGCGGAUUUUGUUUUGAUAAAAUUUUUUAAACUGAAUUAUCUAGUCGAAAAAAAACAAUUUUAAAUUUUUUUUUUAACCAAAAUUCAUAACUUUUUUCCCUCUAUAAAUAGAGACUAGGUUUGUUUGAUUUGGACACAGAAAAAAAAAUCAAGUUUCUCACCAUAUUAUUAUCUCUCUUAUCAUCUUAUUAUCUUUUUUAACCAAGUUUCUCACCAUAUUAUUGAUUAGUUUGUUGUCUUCCAUUUUUAAGUUAAGGAAAUAAAAUAAAUUAUUGUCUAUAUUUAAAAAAAAUAAAAAUUGUUAAGUGUUUAUUAUUUAAUUUAAUUUAAAACAAUAAUUGUAAUUUUAUGUAAAUAAUAAAAACAAAAAUAUAAAAUUAAAUAAAAAUAUGAAAUAAAAAAUGGUGGGGUAGGGUGUUGAGAGAGAAAACCAUUGGAGUGGGUAAUUGUUGAGAGUUUGUUGAAUUGGAGAGAGAAGAUGAUGUGGAGUGUUGGGAAGAGAAAAAGUGGGGUUGAAAAUAGGUAAACAAAACAUUUUUUGUUGAACCAUUGCUCAUG